GCGGGAGUAGCUCAGUUGGUAGAGCGUCAGCCUUCAAGCUGAAUGUCGCGAGUUCGACCCUCGUCUCCCGCU
rnacentral:tRNA from 1 species